CUAUCUCUGUCGCUGUCUAUCUCUCUCAAAUAAAUUUUUAAAAAUAUUCAUAUUUUAGAUUUACAAAACACUAAUGUAAAUCAUUAUGCUUUAGGAAUCUGUUCCAGAAAAAGAAAAAACAUUUUUUUUUUUUUUUUCAAAUCUGUACUAGGGAGGUCAUACAUAUAAUCUGACUUUGUGAAUGAGCUAACUUUCAUUGUUCCCAGAGGUAGGUUUCUAGUGUGGAAAUGGCAUCCAAAUAAUUUAAAUAUUUAGUUUUGGAGUUACUGUGUUGAGGUGGCAUAAAGUCAGCAUACCUUGAGUUCUGGAAAAAAAUUAAAGUGGUGUUUCCUGAAAUAUCCACAGGAACAUGGGGAAAUCACCUACAUGGUUUGUUUAUUUAUUUAUUUUUAGCUGUCAACAGUACUGCAUUCAAAUAAUUAACUCAGAGUUAAAUGAAUUGUUUUAUGUGCAUUUCUUCCCCUCUUCUUAACCUCUUGUACCUUUCAAGAUAUAGGGGAGUGAGUGUGAACAUUGGAAUCAGAAAUUUAUAGAUAUCCCAAGUCCUGUACUUCUAUAUGACUGAAGGCAUUUUUAAAAUAUUUAAUCAUUCAUGAGUUGAGCUUCAUUCUUGAGUCAUGGAUGACAAGGCUUCUGUUGGAAAAAUCAGUGUCUCCUCAGACUCAGUAUCUACUCUUAAUAGUGAAGAUUUUGUCUUGGUUUCCAGGCAAGGAGAUGAGACACCAUCUACAAAUAAUGGAAGUGAUGACGAGAAGACAGGACUCAAGUUGACUGUAUGAGAUUGAUCUUCUGGAGCAACUGUGGCUGGCAUCAACAGUAUAUAGAUGGUAUUUAAAGCUAUGGGAUUAGAUGAGAUCACCCACAGAGUGAGCAUAGAAACUGAAGAGUUGAGUGAAGAACUGAUUCUUGGAAUACUUCAACAUUGAGAGAUGGAGAUGAAGAGAAACCAGCAGAGAAGACUGAGAAGAUAUAAGUAGUGAGAUAUAAAGAAAACUAGGAGAUUGGAAUGCCUUGGAAGAGAGAUGAAGAAAGUGUUUCAAGAGAGCGGGAAU